rnacentral:rRNA from 1 species
UACAGAGGUCUCAAGCGUUGUUCGGAUUCAUUGGGCGUAAAGGGCGCGUAGGCGGCUUGCCAAGUCAGGGGUGAAAUCUUUCGGCUUAACCGGAAAAGUGCUUCUGAUACUGGUGGGCUGGAGGGAGGUAGGGGCAGAUGGAACUUCCGGUGGAGCGGUGAAAUGCGUAGAUAUCGGAAGGAACGCCGGUGGCGAAAGCGAUCUGCUGGACCUCUUCUGACGCUGAGGCGCGAAAGCCAGGGAGCAAACGGG